AAACCUGCGAAACUCGAAUGAACGAACGGAGAGAUUCAUCGACAUCCGACGGCGUGCGGUCGUGCGCCUCGAUGUCGCGCCUGCGCUCCUCGCGGGCGUCGCGCGCGGCACGGGUCGCGUCCGGGUUAGCCGUCGGCGUCGUGCACUUCUCUCUCAGUAAUGCAUCGCGACCCGUUCUCGGUCGGCUUGAGCGCCGUCCGACUCGCCCAGUCGGUGUGCUCGCACACCGAUUGGACCGUGACGGUGGCCGGCCGGCCGGGGGACGGUAGUGGUAUGAAACGCGCACGCGCCUCGCGCGCGUCCGGCCCGACGCAAGCUCGCGCGCCGUAUCACGUUGCGGUCCUGCCCGAGUGCGGACCGUGACGCGGCGCCGCUGUUGUCGCAGCCGUGUCGUCUCGGACGGUGCGCGUCUCAGUCUGCGGUGAGUC
rnacentral:rRNA from 1 species